CAGUCGCCGCGGUAAUACGUAGGUCCCGAGCGUUGUCCGGAUUUAUUGGGCGUAAAGCGAGCGCAGGCGGUUUGAUAAGUCUGGAGUUAAAGGCUGUGGCUCAACCAUAGUUCGCUUUGGAAACUGUCAAACUUGAGUGCAGAAGGGGAGAGUGGAGUUCCAUGUGUAGCGGUGAAAUGCGUAGAUAUAUGGAGGAACACCGGUGGCGAAAGCGGCUCUCUGGUCUGUAACUGACGCUGAGGCUCGAAAGCGUGGGGAGCGAACAGGAUUAGAUACCCGCGUAGUCCCUGUCUCUUAUACC
rnacentral:rRNA from 1 species